AUGGACUUGAUCAAUCAGGAUCUCACCUUAUGUUUCAUUCUGUUUUGGAUGACAGAUCUAACUGAUGCGAGUGAUGUCACGCAGACCUCCAAACUGUGGAAGGAAAAGGGUGACAAUGCAACAACACACUGCAGCCACACCAAGGGCAGCGAAUACUACCAGAUGUACUGGUACAAGCAGCUGCCGGGAGAGACUAUGAAACACAUCGCAUCAGCAGUGUUUGGCAGCUACUGCGACUACAGAGAUUCUAGCCGAGACAAAUUCUCAGUCGAAAAACCAGUUGCUCAUCGUGGGAAACUGACGGUGAAGCAUCUGGAGCCAGGGGAUAAAGGCUUGUAUUUCUGUGCUGUGAGUCGACACAGUGGCACAGACACACUUGACAGUUGA